UACGUAGGGGGCAAGCGUUGUCCGGCUUUAUUGGGCGUAAAGCGCGUGUAGGCGGCUUGGCAAGUCAGUUGUGAAAGCCCGGGGCCCAACCCCGGAACUGCAUCUGAAACUGCCUGGCUAGAGUCCCGGAGAGGAAGGCAGAAUUCCCGGUGUAGGGGUGAAAUGCGCAGAUAUCAGGAGGAACACCGGUGGCGAAGGCGGGUCUCUGGGCAACAACUGACGCUGAGGAGCGAAAGCGUGGGGAGCAAACAGG
rnacentral:rRNA from 1 species